UACGGGGGGGGCAAGCGUUGUUCGGAAUUACUGGGCGUAAAGGGCUCGUAGGCGGCCAACUAAGUCAGACGUGAAAUCCCCAGGCUCAACCUGGGAACUGCGUCUGAUACUGGAUGGCUUGAAUUCGGGAGAGGGAUGCAGAAUUCCAGGUGUAGCGGUGAAAUGCGUAGAUAUCAGGAGGAACACCGGUGGCGAAGGCGGGUCUCUGGGCCGAUAUUGACGCUGAGGAGCGAAAGCGUGGGGAGCGAACAGG
rnacentral:rRNA from 1 species